rnacentral:rRNA from 1 species
GACGAACGCUGGCGGCGUGCUUAACACAUGCAAGUCGAGCGAGGCCCUCUCUUCGGGGGGGUGCCCUAGCGGCGAACGGGUGAGUAACACGUGGGCAACCUGCCCUCAGCUCUGGGAUAACUCCAAGAAAUUGGUGCUAAUACCGGAUGUGACCGCUGACCGCAUGGUCUGGUGGUGGAAAGAUUCAUCGGCUGAGGAUGGGCCCGCGGCCUAUCAGCUUGUUGGGGGGUCACGGCUCACCAAGGCGACGACGGGUAGCCGGCCUGAGAGGGUGACCGGCCACACUGGGACUGAGACACGGCCCAGACUCCUACGGGAGGCAGCAGUGGGGAAUAUUGCGCAAUGGCCUAACGGCUGACGCAGCGACGCCGCGUGUGGGAGGACGCCCCUCGGGGUGUAAACCACUGUUGCCCGGGACGAAACCCCUGAAUCAUCAGGGCUGACGGUACCGGGUGAGGAAGCACCGGCUAACUCCGUG